rnacentral:lncRNA from 1 species
UUUCUCAUGCACAUUUCAAGAUUGCGAUGGAGCUUGCGAUGCUCGGUGCCAACUGUCGUCGCGGCCGCACCUGUGCAAGAGGGCAUGCGGGACUUGUUGCGCUCGCUGCGACUGCGUGCCACCAGGAACUUCCGGCAACUACGACGCCUGCCCUUGCUAUGCCAACAUGACUACCCACGGAGGCAGGCACAAAUGCCCCUAGAAGGGUUUCAUUUUCCACUUAGCUUCACCUGCGAAAAAUGUUUCUAUUCAGUUAAUGUAUUGCCGAGUUUGUGACGUCCAAUCCAUAAAUAAACUUUCGGAGUAAUGGUUAUUAAUAUUGAUGGAUCAUGGGAUUGGCCCCGUAAUCUUGUAAUUUUAGCCUUCCUCACUUGAGUACCAUGUUUGGUGGCUUUGAGUUUUCUUAAACAAUAAAAUUUUACAUGUCAACAAAACUUUAUGGAGUAGGUUGGUCUGGAUAUGCUCUAGCAUUGGAUCCAAUCAUGAAGUUGAGCACCAAAUCGCUCCAGCUUGUUGUUGAAUCAAAUCGUUAUUAUCUAAGCAUGCUAUACUUAAUCAAAUUCUAUCGCGUUUUACAAUAUAUAGGCGUCAUAAUGCAAUUUUUUUUUCUUUUUUGGUUGCAAUUGAUUAUGUUUGCUUUUCUAUAAGGUAGGAGGGUGGAGAGAGUUGACCGGUAUUAGCAACCUUUUUUGAGCAUUCAUCAAGAAAUGUUCGAUUUGAGUUAUAAUGACCCCAUAUUAUCUUGUAGCCGCUCACUAAAAUAUUGAUAGUUGGGAAGUCUUUCUUUGUGAUCAUGAAGUAUGUUGCUGUUAAAUAAGACAAUACAAACUAUGUAGAUGAUUAGUUGCAAUGUAAAUUGAACUUGUGAUCUUGUCCUCCUAUAAUUGAUUUAUGUCGGUUGUUCCACAAUAAUUCUAACUUCUAACCCAUAUUUUGUCCUACAAACUCCAUGAGAGCUAAAUGAAGUGCUAGGACUACUUGAGCCCGAUCCACGCCGCGACGCAUCUAAGGAUUGUCAACCGACACCGUCCGAUGGGGCAACUGAGACAUCCGGUUAUAAUGGCCUAACUCAAGCUAAGCAUGCCCGCACCAGAUCCGGACCUCUAAAAUCCAGCGUAGUUUGGUGUGAAACUGCAUGGGGUGCGAACUAGACAAGUUGCAAAGCAAAGACGAAAGGUGGAAGCGGAAAAAAGCAAGGUCCGACGGUGUUGUUUAUUGAGGACGUUCAUGCGUAUGGGGAUAGAGACCUUUCAUCCGUCCAACGUGGCUGACAUGUCAGAUUUCUUGAUCUUCUCUCCUCUUUUGAGAAAUUGUUAGGAGGCUUUGCAAGCCUAACAGUCUUUGAGUGAGAAUAAUGAUUUAUUAUGAGUCACAAAUUCUUAAAGAAGUAUGUCUUACAAUAAUUUAUAAUUAUUUAUGAUUUGAUUUUUUUAAGAAUAGACUGUUAUUCUCAUAAUACACUAAAAAUUCUCACACAAUCAUUUCUCAAUAUUAGGUAGAGCUCUGAGGUUAGUCACUAUGUCAAAAUCUCAAUCCAUUCAUCGGGUGACAUGUGUCCUCGAACCCACUGCGCUAGAACCCCUCUCCUCUCUCACCGUCUUGCCUCUCUCUUCCCUAUCUUUCUUCUCUUCUUUUGUCCUUUCUUGCCUUCUUUUUCCCUUUCGUUCCGAUAGGGACGACAACAGACAUUUGUCCCCUUUCACCACCACCACUACCUCGCCAUUGUUUAAGUCCACCACCUUGUCGCGAUUUUAGUCCUCCAUUGUUGAACACAAGCUCCACCAGCAAACUUGGGCCUCAGAUUUCUGAUCAAAGGUCGAGUGAGCCCUAGAUUUGUGAUCUAGAGCUCAGCUAGACCUCAAAUCUAAGUUGAUUCAAGGUUGACUAAAGUCGGCUUAGGCAACGAACCAGGCGUGUCGACGGGGUGUGGGGUCUCGACCUUUUGGCUGACGUGGGAUGAGUUGGACAUGAGGUGGAGGUGUUGGAGGUUAGAGAAGGAGCACGCGAAGAUGGAGGCAUGCGAGAAGGAGCAUUCAUCGAGAAAUGUUCAAUAUUUGAACUACCCAUCUGUAUCUUGAGUCAUUUCUUAUCCACCCAAUGACAGUGACGGAAUUUUUAGUGUGUUUAGUAUUUACCCACCUAAUAUGAACUUUCUCAACACAAAUAAAUUGUUCGAUAACAAAAAAGAAGUUUUUUCGGACGAAGUUGUUUUGGUUUGAUUAGUUUAUCCAGCCAGGGAUGCAAGACUCUCAUAGUUGCAAGGUGAUGGUGGCUGGGGUAGUAAAGGAUUAUUUUGAGUCAAAGUACAAGAAGCCUGUCGCAUUCACAUUGGACAUCGAUCCAUUCAACCACUUAGCUCGAUCCGAUAUGAUACAUUGGCGGCUUUCGCGAGUUUUCUGGUUUGGCGUUUGCUGGAAAACUAAAAGAGGAACAGCUGUGCAUGCCGAGUUUCCCAGCUGGCAGUGGGAGAUGAUGAUGCUCUCUGCUCUCAUCUGGUGCAGGUUCGAAUCUGAGGCUCAGAGCCCCGAUGCUUUUUCCUUCACCUCAUAUCGAUCGAAAGUACGCAAAACCAUGCAACUUUAUGUGCCAAACUAAACUCACCUUCGAACAAAAUGUCGCCAUUUUAUCAGCUCAGGACUUAAAAAACACACAAGAGAAAGCCAAACAGCCCACGCAUGCAUGCAGCUGUGCAGAUGACCACCUUACGCGCUUCUUCGAAAGUCCGGUCGGCCGCAAAUAAUUCACUCGGGCUACUUGCUACCAACCCUAGAUGGUCAUCUUAAUGAGAGGUCUGCGAGACGAACUUUACUUGCUUAGGAUAAGCCUAUAUAUAUAGCCCGCCCUCUGCCCUCCCCCUUCAUUGUAUCAAACAUCAUCCGACCAAAGUCAUUAGGACUGCAUCAUUGACAUUCAAUUAUAACUCCGAAAAAGUCUUGACCAUGGCGAUCCACAGGCUUUUAAUUGCUUCCGUCUUAAUCUCCGUCCUUCUUCAACUUGCCGAAGCUGACCAGAUGGUACCAACUCGUUCUGCUUUUGGUUAUUCGUAUAUUCUGCUCGUUUGAUUUUCUUCUCUCCUGUAUCACACUACCUCAUGUCCAUUCAAACUAACCAAAACGAUCCUUUUGUGUCCUUGACAGACGCAGGGAGUUGGAAAUGCAGGAGACAACUCGAAGCUUCUGAAAAUGGGUACAGAACUAUAUAUGAAGAGUCAUUUCUCUUUUUCGCUCUUAAAUUUUUAAUAAUCAUCUAGUAACGCGAGGUCUUCAUCUUCAUUGUGUAGACUGUAGUGGAGCGUGUGCCGCCAGGUGUCAGCUGUCGUCGAGGCCUCGCCUUUGCCAAAGGGCUUGUGGGACGUGCUGCUCCCGCUGCAACUGUGUUCCUCCGGGCACCUCCGGCAACCUCGACGUCUGUCCGUGCUACGCCAACAUGACCACGCGCGACAACAAGCACAAGUGCCCAUGAGAUGCUCGACGGCCUUUGUUUUCUUUCUCAUGGUCGGACACCAAUCGGUCAAGCUUGUGCAAUUGCUGCUAAUUAUUGUCGGGACGUUGUUUUUGCUGUUGUACUUUCAUGGAGCUGGUCAGGAAGUGGUUUGCAAAUGCAAAUUCACAAUGCAUUCAGCAAUUUAUCUGUUGUAUCUAUCGUGAAUAAAGUUUUUCCAUUUAUUUUUCGUUUCAUUGCGCUUAUUACUCUUUUGUCGGACCAAUAUAAGUUGCACCUAAAUUGACGGUUCAUAUUCAUUUUUAACAUAUUCUAGAGUUACCAAAGAAUAAAUCCUGAUUGAUAACUGAUGGUUGGAUCGGUGAAAACAAAGUUUGAGGCCUGAAUUUUACUCGAAUUGAUAAAAUUAGACCUUUACCGGUGCUGCAAGCUUACUGAGACAUUGAAACUGAUUGUCCACUUUGUCCAUCGGAAAUGCAGAACCCCAAAAACCAAGUGGCCGGGAUAGGAACCAAGCCGAAUCAUAUAUAUGGUCCUAACCAUGUAUGUAAGCCCAAAUUCACUUAAAGACAAAGUAAAGCUCAUAAGUUCACAGCCGAUAAAUAGAAAGGGUUAGCUUGAUUGACUUGACAAAUCUCAAUCGUUAAUAAUGUUAUCAUCUUCAUAAAUCAACGAUUGAGAUUCACUGAUGCAUCAAAAUAAGCACUUACAAGAUAUAAUAUCCACGCCUAUUAUCUAUGUCAUGUAUUACAUAUUAUGAAUGUUCUUAUUUGCUUUCCAAAUAAUACCAAUUUGCUUAUGGAGAUUAAUUUGAAUAGGUAAAAGAUCCUCCUAUGCCGAGAAGGAUAAAAAUGAUAUUCCGACAAUGGUAAUAGAUGGAUUCGGAGCUCGGAUGUUGGGGACAAAGGACACAACAUUAGCAAGGAAGCAUGAGUUAAUCUCCUUCUCAAGUAGCCCAUCACCAUAUGAUGCUGUGUCCAAAGUACCCAUCUCUUUGAUGAUAAGUGCUGUGCUGAAAUGAUUCUGUGAUUUUGCACCUAUCUCACCAUUGUCUUCAUUUUACAGAUUGGACCUUAAUUAUGAUUUUCCAGCCCAUGAUCCGAUGGAUGAUGACCAUCAGGAUCGAUUCAUCAGUCUCUUUGAGUUCAAAUAUGUUUAUCUUCUGCUUAAAUGUUAAGCAUAAGGAAUAUCCCUACGCAGCAUCCACCUACUCAUCACUUUCCGCUUUCCACGUAUUGGGUGAAUUUUAAGAAGUAACCUAACUCUCUCCCUCUCUUCUUCCAUGCUCGAUCUAUAAAUUGUGCUCGUUUCUUGAAUUCCAAACACGCCACACUACACUUGAAGCUAAUGGCGUUGUCGAGGCUUUGUACGGCGUUGCUGCUCCUCUCUCUUCUUUUGAUCCACCAAGCUGAAUCUGAUUAUAUGGUAAAACAUACUGUAAAUGAUCUUUUUUUGCUUUAAAUGCUACUUUUCAACGAUCUUUGAAGAUCUGUUCUCAUUCAAUGUACUUCUAUCGAGCUUCCAUUAAUGCCCUAAUCAAAUUCUCCUUUUGUUAGGUGAUUCAGUUGAACACAGCUGAGGCACCACCUCCUCCACCUCCACAUAUAGGUAUGAACACAGUCGCAUCUUAGAUCCGCCUCGAAACUAGAACUCCGAAGUAUCUGUUCAUUUUAAGUUAGUUUCUUGUGCACAUUUCAAGAUUGCGACGGAGCUUGUGAUGCUCGGUGCCAGCUGUCGUCGCGGCCACACCUUUGCAAGAGGGCAUGCGGGACUUGUUGCGCCCGCUGCGACUGCGUGCCGCCGGGAACUUCCGGCAACUACGAUGCCUGCCCUUGCUAUGCCAACAUGACUACUCAUGGAGGCAGGCACAAAUGCCCCUAGAAGGGUUUCAUUUUCAACUUGCGAAAAAUGUCUCCAUUUUGUCGAUGUAUUGCCGAGUUUGUGGAGUCUUGCCUGAUGUAUCUCAAUAAUUGAGACUUCUGUCGUGUCCAAUCAAUAAAUAAACUUUCGGAGUAAUGAUUAUUAAUAUUGAUGGAUCAUGGGACUUGGCCAGUAAUCUUGUUAUUUUGGUCUUCCUCACUUGAGUACCAUGUUCGGCGGUUUUUAUUUUUUUUAAAUAGUAAAAUCUUACAUGUCAACAAAACCUUAUAAAGUAGGUUGGUCUAGGGUGUGCUUAAGCAUUGGAUCCAAUCAUGAAGUUAAGCACCAAAUCGCUCUAGCAUGGUGUCGAAUCGAGUCAUUAUUAUCUAAACUCUCUACUAAAUCAAAUUCUCAUGUUUUACAAUAUACAGGCAUCACAAUGCAAAAUUUUUUUUUCGUUGCAAUUGAUUAUGUCUGCUUUUUUAUAAGGUAGAAGGGUGGAAAGGGAUGACCCGUGUUAGCAACCUUUUUUGAGCAUUCAUUGAGAAAUGUUCGAUUUGAAUUAUAACCACCCCAUAUUAUCUUGCAGACGCUCAUCAAGAUAUUGGUAGUUUGGAAGUCUUUCUUUGUUAUCAUGAAGUAUAUUGCUGUUAAACAACACAGCACAAACUAUUCAGAUGAUUAGUCGCAAUGUAAAUUUAACUUGUGAUCUUGUGCUCUUAUGAUUGAUUUAUGUCUGUCGCUACAUAAUAAUUCUAACUUCUAACUCAUAUUUUGUCCUACAAACUCUAUGAGAGCUAAACGAAGUGCUACGACUACUUGAGCACGAUCCACGUAGCGAAGAAUCUAGGGGUCGUCAAUCGACACCGUCCGAUGGGGCAACCAAGGCAUCUGGUUAUAAUGGCCUAACUCAAGCUAAGCAUGCCCACACCAGAUCUGGACCUCCAAAAUCCAGCGUAGCGUGGUGUGAAACUGGAUGGGGUGCGAGCUAGACAAGUUGCGCAGCAAAGACAAAAGGCGAAGCAGAAAAAAGCAAGGUCCGACGGUGUUGUUCACUGAGGAUGCUCGUGCGUGAGGAUAGAGGAGAAAAUAUUAGGUAGAGCUCUGAGCUCAGCAUGUUAAAAUCUCAGUCCAUUCAUCAGGCAACAUGUGUCGCUCGGGCCCACCGUGUUUAGACCUGUUUUCCCCUUCACCGUCUCGUCUCUCUCUUACCUCUCUUCCUUCUCUUAUUUUCUCCCUUUUUGUCUUCUUCUUCCCUUUCACUCCGAUGGGGAUGACAACAGACAUUUGUCCCCUUCCAUGACCACCACCUCACCGCUGUCUUAGUCCACCACCUUGCUGCCGUUUUAGUCCUCCGCCGUUGAGCUCAAGUUCAGCUGGCGAACUUGGGCCUCAUAUUUCGGAUCAAAGGUCGAGCAUGCCCUAGAUUUGUAUCUGGAGCUGAACUCGAUCUCAAAUCUGAGUAGGUUGACUAAAGUCGGCUUAGGCAAGAACGAGGCCCGUUGAUGCAGCGUAGGGUCUCAACCUUCUGGCCAACGUGGUAUGAGUUGGACAGGAGGUGGAAGUGCUGGAGAUCAGAGGAGGAGGGAGCGAAAGAUGGAGGCAGAGAUGGAGGCGUGGGAGAAGGAGCAUUCAUCAAGAAAAUUUUCAAUAUUUGGACUACUCAACGCAAAUAAAUUGUUCGAUAAAAAAAGAAGAAGAAGUUCGUUUUGGAUGAAGUUGUUUUGGUUUGAUUAGUUUAUCCAGCCAGGGAUGCAAGAUUCUCCUACUUCCAAGGUGAUGAUGGCUGGGGUAGUAAAGGAUUAUUUUGAGUCAAAUACAAGAAACUUGUCGCAUUCACAUUGAAUCUCGAUCUAUUCUGUGAAGAUGAACAAGAUUACAGAUGAAUGCAAAAGAAGAAGACGAUUCCUUAAUUCUCUUAUGUAUAAUGGUGUAUUCACCUCAGCUGUGCAUGCCGAGUGUACCAGCUGGCAGAUGAUGAUGCUCUCUGCUCUCCUCUGCCGCAGGUUCGAUCUGAGACUCAGAGCCCCGAUGCUUUUUCCUUUGCCCAAUAUCGAUCGAAAGAACAAAACCCAUGCACCUUUUACGUGCCAAACCAAAUCUCAACUUCGAACAUGAUGUCGCCAUUUUAUCAGCUGAGGACUUAAAAAACACAGUAGAGAAAGCCAAACAGCCCACGCAUGCAUGGAGCUGCGCUGAUGAGGGUUGACCACCUUACGCGCUUCUUCGAAAGUCCAGUCCGCCGCAAAUAAUUCACUCGGGCUACUUGCUACCAACCCUAGAUGCCCAUCUUAAUGAGGGGUCAGCGAGACGAACUUUGCUUGCUUAGGAUAAGCCUAUAUAUAGCCCGCCCUCUGCCCUCCCUCUUCAUUGUAUCAAUCAUCCGACCAAAGUCAUUAGGACUGCAUCAUUGGUAUUCAAUUCUAACUCCGAAAAAGUCUCGACCAUGGCCAUCCACAAGCUUUUAAUUGCUUCCCUCUUAAUCUCAGUUCUUCUUCUUCAACUCGCCGAAGCUGACCAGAUGGUACCAACUCGUUUUGCUUUCGAUUAUUCGUAUAUUCUGCUCAUUUGAUUUUCUUCUUCUUUAUCACACUACCUCAUGUCCAUUCUAUUUAACCAAAACGACCCUUUUGUGUCCUUGACUGAUGCAGGGAGUUGGAAAUGCAGGAGACAACUCGAAGCUUCCGAAAAUGGGUACAAAACUAUUUAUAGGGAGUCAUUUCUCUUUUUCGCUAGUAAAUUUUUCAAAAAUAAUGGUAUAAUGACAUGAGGUCUUCAUCUUCGUUGUGCAGACUGCGGCGGAGCGUGUGUCGCCAGGUGUCAGCUGUCAUCGAGGCCUCGCCUUUGCCAGAGGGCUUGCGGGACAUGCUGUGCCCGUUGCAACUGCGUCCCUCCGGGCACCUCCGGCAACCUCGACGUCUGUCCGUGCUAUGCCAACAUGACCACCCGUGACAACAAGCACAAGUGCCCAUGAGAUGCUCGAUGGGCUUCGUUUUCUUUCCAAUGGUCGGACAUCGAUCGCUCAAGCUUGUUGCUGCUAAUUUAAGGGACGCUGUUGUCGUACUAAUAUCAUGGAGCUAGUCAAGAAGUGGUUUGCAAAUGCAAAUUCACAAUGUGUUUAGCAAUUUAUCUGUCGUAUCUAUCAUUAAUAAAGUUUCCGUUUAUCUUUCUUUCUACUGCACUUGUUAUUUUUUCAUCGGUCCAAUGUGAGUCCCAUCUAAAUUAAUGGUUCAUAUUCAUUUUUAAUAUAUUCUAGAUUCAAUAAAUAAAUUAUCCUAAUCGAUAAUUGAUGGUUCGAUCUGUAAAAAUUAAAGUUUGAGGCAUGGAUUUUACUUGAAUUGAUCAAGUUUGACCUGUCCUGCAGGCAAUUGCUGAAAUAUGAAAACAAUUUUUCCACUUGGUCUAUUGCAAAUGCUUCCCAAAACUCAAGUGGCCAGGUGAGGAACUAAACCCAGUCACAUAUAAUGUCUUAACCAUGUAUGUAAGCCCGAAUUCACUAAAAGACAGAAAUAGUUAAGGUUGUUUGAUUUGACAAGUUUUAAUCAUUAAGGAUCAUAUCAUUUGUAUAAAUUAAUGGUUUAUUGAGGCAUGCAUCAAAAGAAGCACUUACUGGAUAAAGUAUCCACCAUUGUCAUUUAUGUCAUGUAUCACGUAUUAUAAACAUUCUUAUUUGCUUCCCAAAUGAUACAAUUUUGCUUACAGUAAUUAAUUUGAACAGGUAAAAAUUGUCCUACGCCGAGAAGUUUAAAAUGAUAUUCCUGCCAUGGUAAUAGAUUAUAGAUGGAUUAUGAGCUUGGAAACUUGGGGGACAAAGGAAACAACAUUAGCAAGGAAGCAUUAGUUAACAUCCGGUCCAAUCCUCCUCCUCAAGCAGUCCAAACUACCCAUCCCUUUGCUCAAAUGAUUCUGUGAUAUUGCACCUAUCUCACCACUGACUUCAUUUUACAGAUUGGACCUUAAUUAUGAACAACGUAAGAAAAGGGGAUGCCAGUUACCAACCCACGAUUCGAUGAAUAGUGAGCAUCAGGAUUGAUUCUUCUGUCUCUUCGAGUACAAAUAUGUCUAUCUUCUGCUUAAAUGUUAAGCAUAAGGAAUCUCCAUACGCAGCAUCCACCUACUCAUUACUUUUCACUUUCCACUUUCCACGUAUUGGGUAAAAUUUACGAAGUAACCUAACUCUCUCCCUCUUUUCUUCUGUGUUAAAUCUAUAAAUAGAACUCGUUUCUCGAAUUCCAACCACGCCACAUUCCACUCGAAGCUAAUGGCGUUGUCGAGGCUCUGUACAACGUUGCUGCUCUUCUCUCUUCUUUUGAUCCACCAAGCUGAAUCUGAUUAUAUGGUAAAACAUACUGUAAAUCAUCUUCUUCUUUUUUUGGCUUUGAUUGCUACUUUUCAACCAUCUUUGAAGAUCUGUUCUCAUUGAAUGUACUCUUUUCGAGCUUCUGUUAAUGCCCUAAUCGAAUUCUCUUUGUGUUAGGUGAUUCAGUUGAACACAGCUGAGGAACCAGCUCCUCUGCCUCCGAAUAUAGGUAUGAACGCAAUCACAUUUUAAAUCGGCCUUGAAACUAGAAUUCCGUAGUACCUGUUCAUUUUAAGCUUAGUUUCUCACGCACAUUUCAAGAUUGCGAUGGAGCUUGCGAUGCUCGGUGCCGGCUGUCGUCGCGGCCACACCUGUGCAAGAGGGCAUGCGGGACUUGCUGCACUCGCUGCGACUGCGUGCCGCCUGGAACUUCCGGCAACUACGACGCCUGCCCUUGCUAUGCCAACAUGACUACCCAUGGAGGCAGGCACAAAUGCCCCUAGAAGGGUUUCAUUUUCUACUUAGCUUCACUUGCGAAAAAUGUUCGUAUUUUGUUAACACAUUGCCGCGUUUGUGGAACUUGCCUAAUGUAUCUUAGUAAUAAGGACUUAUGUAACGUCCAAUCCAUAAAUAAACUUUCAGAGUAAUGAUUAUUAACAUUGAUGGAUUAUGGGUCUGCCUCUGUAAUUUUAUAAUUUUAGCCUUUC